rnacentral:lncRNA from 1 species
GUGAACUUUCUUCUUUGGCCCAAAACUCUCCAUAACAUGUGGAUUCUACGAAGGAGGGAAGAUAUCGCUCUCUAAAAUGCGUUUCGGCGCAGGUUAGAGUCGGUGAGUUAACAAGUUAGAUUCAACACUUGAAGCUUGGGGAUUUUGGGAAACCUUCUUUUUCCAUGUUCUUUGUCCACCUAAAUCAAGAACGCAAGGGGUCUCAAACUGUUCUUCUACGGUAGACCAAAAUGACUCACUAUUCUCUCGAUGUUCAAUUCUCUGUUGUGAGUCCACCUCGAGCUUUGAUUUUAGUCAUGGUAAUAGGCGGUUCUGACUGAUAAAGAUACGUCGUUAGCUGAUAGAAUUUUGAAAGAGGUGAAGAAAUUAGGCAUUUUCCGUUACACCGAUGAUUUAGUUAUAGUACAUAAAUUAGAUGAUCAGGUUCAGAAUUUGCUGAUAUACGUUUCAAACUGCGAAUUGGUACAUGAAAACUGAUUUGCAGUACUUUUGAGAACCGAUAGAAACCACUCACUAAAAUUGUAAAUAAUUCACUACUUUUCACAAAUCAACAAUAUAACACCACCUUUAAUCCACAUACUCCUGUACCUAGGGGGUGGACAACGGGCGCGUCAG